CAGCAGACACAUUCCAGCCAAUCAGCAGCAGACCCUCCCUCCCAGACCCUCCCACCUCCUGGACAGCAUCCAUUUUGCAUUCAUUGUGAAGCUGCAUUCUUAGUGAGCUGUCCAGGAGGUGGAAGGGUCUGGGAGGGAGGGUCUGCUGCUGAUUGGCUGGAAUGUGUCUGCUG
rnacentral:miRNA from 1 species